AUUUGUCAAAUAUUGACAUUGAAAGAAGAAAAUAUGUGGCUCUCUCUAUUAUGCAGAUAGCAGCUCAAGCUAUGCAAGUUCAAUCCCAUGUUUAGUGACUUGAACAAUCAUGAAUCUACAAGGGUGUUCAAGAAAUCAUCAGAAAGUUAAAGAACUUUGUUUCAUCCAAAUCACUUGCAGCUUUACGGAAAAAACAGAUGCUAGAACACAAGAAGAAGAAGAAUACAGGCUACAUAUAAUUUCUUGAAACUUAUCGCGACUAGAACUUGAUACUAUAUAAAAACUUAACUAAUCAUUUGAGUACUUAACAUACAUUUUGCUUUUGGAUUUAGAUUACUAGUUUAAUUUGUUCCAUAUUUUGGAUUAUGUGAUUAUUAAUGAAUGAUUUUGUUU